UUUGUUUUAUAAAAGAAAACCGGAAUAAAUGAGUUUACGUCACUUUUUCUUUUUUAAUAGUUUACUUAGAAAUUGAUUUCUACGUCAAAAAGCGUAGCUUCCUAGAAAGACGAUAAGACCCUAUAAAAUUUAUACUUUGAGGUGGGAGUGUAAUUUAGUAAAAAAUUUACAUCAAAAAGUUAUGCUGGGGCGGCUACUAAUAUUCUUUAGGAUAAAUCACACCUUAUAUGUAUAGAUAGAUCUUUUAAAAAGAUAGAAAAAGUUACUUUAGGGAUAACAGCGUAAUUUUAUACAAUUUAAAUUUUAUAUAAAGACUUACGACCUCGAUGUUGAAUUGAGGGGCCAGCCUCAUUUAUGAGGUGUGGAAGUCUGUUCGACUUUUGAUUCCUC
rnacentral:rRNA from 1 species